GGGGCCUUAGCUCAGUUGGUAGAGCGCCUGCUUUGCAAGCAGGAUGUCAGGAGUUCGAAUCUCCUAGGCUCC
rnacentral:tRNA from 1 species